UUUUUUUUUUGCUUAAUCGUUACUUCUAGUCUGACAUGCGUUCUUUAGCAAUUGUUCCCAAGUAUCCGUGUAGAAGCUCUUGCUCGGAUUGCUGGGGCUAGAUCGGUGGAGGCCGACCUGAGAUCUUGGAGGGAGCUUAUCACGCCCGAGCUUCUGCUUAAAUCAUGUCUUGAUCUAGUCUUGACAGACAAGCCAAAGUCGAGACCUUCUAAGCGCAAGGCACCUCCUACUACUGAGGUUGCUUAGAAGAAGAAGAAAAAACUGAUCUCCAAGAGCAAAAGGAAGGUCGACCCUUCGUCCUCUGUAGGCCGGAAGGUCGUGGAUGAGAUGCCUGCCUCGACUCCUACUGCCACCAUUUCCGAUACAGCCGAGGUGGUCGUUGGGGUAGCUUCUCUUACCGAAGCUCAGGCUGCUAGGGCCCGAGCGGUCGCGGAUAUAGAGACCGAACUCCCCUCACCUCAGGUGGGGGGUCCAGCUAGCGGUUGCGGUAGUGAAGGUUAGAUGCCUCUCAUGUCGGCUUAUGCCACAAUAAAGGGCCUUCUGCCUUGGGUGGAUCGACAUGUCCUCGAUGCCGAAUUCACCAGUACAAUGGACUCGCUGCAAGAUGGAGUUGUGGGCCAGCUGGCGAGGCUUUUCUUUGGGGUAAGUUUAUCUUACUUGAGAUGGUAGGCUCCUCAUAGCCUUAUUACUAUUUUUGGCUUGGUUUGAUACUAUUAUUUUUGCCGUACACCCCCUCCCUUCUUAACGUGCAUCAUGAGAUGCUGCACUUCUAGGCGGAAUGCAAGGAAGCGGAGGCGACACUACUGCAGAAGGGGGCCGAGGCUGAGCGGUUUCAUAUCGAAAUCGGGCGGUUUUGUGCUAAAGCUGGGCAACUUCGUGAGAAGGUCAUCCAGCUUCGUUCUCAAAAUGUUGCCCUGAAAGCUUAGGAAGAUGGGUCGACGGCCGAGCUGGAGGUGUUGAAGAAGAUGCUUGCCGAUGCCUUGGAGAGAGGCACUCGGUGGAAGUCAAACCUGAGGGAGCUGAAGCACUCCCAUGAUGUGAAGAUGGAGGCCCAGGCGGCUAUCUCUUCGGCUCGGGCGGCAGCUGUGGAAGUGUUCAAGUCCUCCAAGGAGUACAUGGAGGGUAGGGAUGCUCUGUAUGGCCUCGGGUAUGAGAAGUGCCUUGAGGACGUUAAAGGGGCGCAUCCCAAGCUCGACCUCUUAGCCUUUGAGGAGGUCGACUUUGAUUCCGAGGCGCCUCUCAAAGACUCACCUCCCAAACCGCCUUCUUCGGCGUCGUAAUUUCUUCCUCUUACCCUUUUGUUGUAAUUUAUGUUUUUGCAAUGUGCUCUUCAUUUGUUUUUAAUGAAAAGAUCUUUUUUU